UACAGAGGUGGCAAGCGUUGUUCGGAAUUACUGGGCGUAAAGGGCGCGUAGGCGGCCUACUAAGUCAGACGUGAAAUCCCCCGGCUUAACCUGGGAACUGCGUCUGAUACUGGAAGGCUUGAGGAUGGGAGAGGGAUGUAGAAUUCCAGGUGUAGCGGUGAAAUGCGCAGAUAUCAGGAGGAACACCGGUGGCGAAGGCGGGUCUCUGGGCCGAUACUGACGCUGAGGAGCGAAAGCGUGGGGAGCAAACAGG
rnacentral:rRNA from 1 species